ensembl:lncRNA
AAUCAAUAUCUACUUCACCACCCAUUAACAACUUGGAAAACGGUUUUCUUGGGUAAGACUUAAAUGAAGCAAAGUGCAACAUGGUUUCUAAAGGCCUACAAUUUUUAGUGGGAAUCUGCACAAUUAAACUGCAGUGCCUCAUGUUGUAAACUUCAUCUCUGGCUAUGCAAAACCUCUGAGAAGCACUUCCUUGUGUCAAUCUAAAUGCAGUUUCAUUGAUAUUAUUCAGAAAGUCUUCUUUCUGCCUACAUAUCUCACAAUUUCACUAGUUUCCUGCCCUCAAUUUCAUUCAAAACUUCCUUUUGUUUCUUCAUUUCCAGUCAUUACCUCAUGAAUUCUACUAAAUGGCUACAACUUCUAAUGGAUAUUAUCCAUUCCCUCAGUUUUACAUAACAGAAAGUGCACAGAUUCCAGAAAGAAUGAAGUUUCCUGUCUUUCUCCUUCCAAAACUCUCCAAUCUCAUAAUAAAAAUAUUGAAAAUAAUGUCUGAGUUUGGCUAUGAACAAGAUGUUUUCAGUAUCAAAAUACAAUGAUUGAAUACAGAUACGUGAUUAAGUAUUAACAGGAAAACAGUUUACUGUCGCUUACCUGUAUUACCCUUAACAAACUCUUAUUCAGGCAACCUUGAGGAAGAUGAAUUGGUGGAAGAGGAAGAAGGGCAUGCAAAGAGGUACAUAAUAAAUUCCAUGAAACAUAAACAAGAAAGUGAAAACCUGGGCCUAAAUAGAUAUGAGGAAAAUCUAUGGGCAGCAUUUCCCUCAAGCACAAAAGUAAGUGUACAGGGAUGAUUCAAUUGGAAGAGUUUGUUAAGGGUAAUACAGGAGUCACCUAAAUGGAAAGAAGAACAGGAGAAGGAAGAUACUAGAAGGAAGCUGCAAACGACAGUUUUGGGGGAUGUGAAACAUUCUGUUUCUAGUAAUAAACAUCAAGUCCGUAAAGUUUCAGAAGACACAGCUUAUGCGAGAAAAGCCCAACCCACAGUAGGAGCAGAGAAAAAGGAAGAGUCUGAUUCUCCCUGGGAUUCUGAGCCGUGUUCUGAAGGUCCGAGGAAAGCAUCUCCUCCUGUGUUUCUCCCACCUGCAGUUGAACAUGGAGUACGCUUGCAGAGUGUUUCAGGGGAGCACAACAAGGGUGCUCUGCCAGCAGUAGGAACAGAGAAAAAGGAAGAGUCUGAUUCUCCCUGGGAUUCUGAGCCGUGUUCUGAAGGUUCGAGGAAAGCAUCUCCUCCUGUGUUUCUCCCACCUGCAGUUGAACAUGGAGUACGCUUGCAGAGUGUUUCAGGGGAGCACAACAAGGGUAACUAUCUCAUAGAUUGGAUUUGUCUGUGUUUAUAGACAAGUGAACUUUUUCUUUUGUUUUCCUUGUUAGUCCUGUUGUUCAGUGAGUAUGUGCUGUAGCAAUGAAGUGCUUGGCUGAUGUUAAUUAACAGCAGUGAACACUGAACUUGCUGGCCUGCUUGAUUAGUCCAGGCGGUUCUUGCGUUCAUUAUGUAUACUUUUUGGAUAUGUAUUUGUUCGGGUGUUUUUCUUUGCUUUAAGUGGUUGCUUAAAGUGGUGGGAGUGGUAUCUGGUUUAAGAUUUAGCUGUGAACCCUAGCCUGCUGUGGUAGAGAAGGUCUGCAGCUUUUGUUGCUUUUCGUUCUUUCCUAAAGGCACAAAUGGUGGUGCUGGGUUCCUAAUGAUUAUGUAUGACUGCNNNNNNNNNNNNNNNNNNNNNNNNNUAAAUAUACUUUAUUUAUAAUCCAUAGCAAGGUACGGCAGCAAAAAAUGGUAGAUAUUGUAGAUAUGUCUGUUGUUUUUCAGUAUAAUUUGAAAAAGCAUUUGUUUUGUAAAUACUUUCCUUCAUGCUGUUCUUAUUGAAUUGGCCACUUCAGCUUCUGUACUCUUAUGAGCUGUUUUCAUGUUAAAUGUCUGUAUUGGUUAAUUUUUAGUAUGCAAAAUCUAAUCUCAACAUGUCGAUUUAUAUUUGAACAGCAAUGGAUGACUUUUUCGAAGGAUACUCAACAAG